rnacentral:rRNA from 1 species
CUUCUAACUUGGACAAACAAGAGGUAUGCUUCUAACCCAACCAUGGAAAGACUUGAUAGACGUCUGGUUAAUGCUAAAUGGUGUGCGAUUUUUCCCAAUUCUAAUGUUUACAAUCUACCUAUUAUUCUUAGUGAUCACGCUCCUAUUCUACUUUCUACUGAUGCUCAUAUGCGCAAGCCGAGAAGAAACUUUAAAUUUGAAAACUGGUUGCUUAUGGAAAAUGAUUUUCAUGAAUAUGCUAAAAAUGUUUGGAUUGCUUCUAGGAAUAAAGAUUUCCACAAUAGGACAACUAAUCUUGCAGGAGCUUUGAGAGCUUGGUGCAGAAAGAAAAAGUCAAUUCAACAAGAGCUGGAAAUUUUAGGUGAGCAAAUCAAAAGUAUUCAAAUGAAGCCACUUGAGGCCUUUCAGGUUUGUAAUUACGAGUAG